rnacentral:rRNA from 1 species
AAGAUGGCGACCGGCGCACGGGUGAGUAACACGUAUCCAACCUGCCGAUAACUCUGGAAUAGCCUUUCGAAAGAAAGAUUAAUACCGGAUAGUAUACGAAUAUCGCAUGAUAUUUUUAUUAAAGAAUUUCGGUUAUCGAUGGGGAUGCGUUCCAUUAGUUUGUUGGCGGGGUAACGGCCCACCAAGACUACGAUGGAUAGGGGUUCUGAGAGGAAGGUCCCCCACAUUGGAACUGAGACACGGUCCAA